AACGAACGCUGGCGGCAGGCCUAACACAUGCAAGUCGAGCGCGCCCUUCGGGGUGAGCGGCGGACGGGUGAGUAACGCGUGGGAACGUACCCUUUGCUACGGAAUAGUCUCGGGAAACUGGGGGUAAUACCGUAUGAGCCCUUCGGGGGAAAGAUUUAUCGGCAAAGGAUCGGCCCGCGUUGGAUUAGGUAGUUGGUGGGGUAAUGGCCCACCAAGCCGACGAUCCAUAGCUGGUUUGAGAGGAUGAUCAGCCACACUGGGACUGAGACACGGCCCAGACUCCUACGGGAGGCAGCAGUGGGGAAUCUUAGACAAUGGGCGCAAGCCUGAUCUAGCCAUGCCGCGUGAGCGAUGAAGGCCUUAGGGUUGUAAAGCUCUUUCGUGGGGGAGGAUAAUGACUGUACCCCAAGAAGAAGCCCCGGCUAACUCCGUG
rnacentral:rRNA from 1 species